rnacentral:tRNA from 1 species
CCCUGGUGGCUCAGAUGUGAAGGAGUCUGCCUGCGAUGCAGAAGACCCAGGUUCCAUCCCUGGAUCAGGAA